CAAGGCUCCCAGAGUUCACCAGGGCUUGGCAUCCCUCCUGUGAUGUUGGGGGCCAGGGAGUAGCUUCCCAAGUUUCACAAAGCUGUCCAGGGAUCAGUGUCUCUCCCACAAAGCUUUCCACUACGGGACUGUUUCAGCAUGCCACGUCUGCCUAUAGCUGGCCCACCACGCAAAGACUGAAGCUUCUCAAAAUGUGAGCUUGCCACUAUGAUCUUGGCAGCAUGAGAUCACACAGAAAUACCGAAAGCUUGAGACAUCUUCAAAUGCUUCCCGGAGUGUCACGUGAAACCUCCGUACAGUCCGUGCUGGCAAAAGGACCCGGCAUCUGUAGGCACAACAAAUGAUGAGUUUAUAUUGCAA